rnacentral:rRNA from 1 species
CCCAGACAGCCAGGAUGUUGGCUUAGAAGCAGCCAUCAUUUAAAGAAAGCGUAAUAGCUCACUGGUCGAGUCGGCCUGCGCGGAAGAUGUAACGGGGCUAAACCAUGCACCGAAGCUGCGGCAGCGACGCUGAUGCGUUGUUGGGUAGGGGAGCGUUCUGUAAGCCUGCGAAGGUGUGUCGUGAGGCAUGCUGGAGGUAUCAGAAGUGCGAAUGCUGACAUAAGUAACGAUAAAGCGGGUGAAAAGCCCGCUCGCCGGAAGACCAAGGGUUCCUGUCCAACGUUAAUCGGGGCAGGGUGAGUCGACCCCUAAGGC